CACUCCUACGGGAGGCAGCAGUGGGGAAUUUUGGACAAUGGGCGAAAGCCUGAUCCAGCAAUGCCGCGUGAGUGAAGAAGGCCUUCGGGUUGUAAAGCUCUUUUGUCAGGGAAGAAACGGUGAGAGCUAAUAUCUUUUGCUAAUGACGGUACCUGAAGAAUAAGCACCGGCUAACUACGUGCCAGCAGCCGCGGUAAUACGUAGGGUGCAAGCGUUAAUCGGAAUUACUGGGCGUAAAGCGUGCGCAGGCGGUUUUGUAAGUCUGAUGUGAAAUCCCCGGGCUCAACCUGGGAAUUGCAUUGGAGACUGCAAGGCUAGAAUCUGGCAGAGGGGGGUAGAAUUCCACGUGUAGCAGUGAAAUGCGGAGAGAUGUGGAGGAACACCGAUGGCGAAGGCAGCCCCCUGGGUCAAGAUUGACGCUCAUGCACGAAAGCGUGGUGAGCAAACAGGAUUAGAAACCCUAGUAGUCCCAUGA
rnacentral:rRNA from 1 species